AGAAUUCCCGGUGUAGCGGUGAAAUGCGUAGAGAUCGGGAGGAAUACCAGUGGCGAAGGCGGCUUUCUGGACUGACACUGACACUGAGGUGCGAAAGCGUGGGUAGCAAACAGGAUUAGAUACCCUGGUAGUCCACGCCGUAAACGAUGUCGACCAGCCGUUGGGUGCCUAGCGCACUUUGUGGCGAAGUUAACGCGAUAAGUCGACCGCCUGGGGAGUACGGCCGCAAGGUUAAAACUCAAAUGAAUUGACGGGGGCCCGCACAAGCGGUGGAGCAUGUGGUUUAAUUCGAUGCAACGCGAAGAACCUUACCUACUCUUGACAUCCUGCGAAUUUGGUAGAGAUACCUUAGUGCCUUCGGGAACGCAGAGACAGGUGCUGCAUGGCUGUCGUCAGCUCGUGUUGUGAAAUGUUGGGUUAAGUCCCGUAACGAGCGCAACCCUUGUCCUUAUUUGCCAGCGCGUAAUGGCGGGAACUCUAAGGAGACUGCCGGUGACAAACCGGAGGAAGGUGGGGACGACGUCAAGUCAUCAUGGCCCUUACGAGUAGGGCUACACACGUGCUACAAUGGUCGGUACAAAGGGUUGCCAACUCGCGAGAGUGAGCCAAUCCCGAAAAGCCGAUCUCAGUCCGGAUCGGAGUCUGCAACUCGACUCCGUGAAGUCGGAAUCGCUAGUAAUCGUGGAUCAGAAUGCCACGGUGAAUACGUUCCCGGGCCUUGUACACACCGCCCGUCACACCAUGGGAGUG
rnacentral:rRNA from 1 species